rnacentral:rRNA from 1 species
AUUGAACGCUGGCGGCAGGCUUAACACAUGCAAGUCGAGCGAGCGGCGGACGGGGGAGUAAUGUCUGGGAAACUGCCUGAUGGUGGGGGAUAACUACUGGAAACGGUAGCUAAUACCGCAUACCAUCAGAUGUGCCCAGAUGGGAUUGGCUAGUAGGUGGGGGAAUGGCUCACCUAGGCGGCGAUCCCUAGCUGGUCGGAGAGGAUGACCAGCCACCCUGGAACGGGGCCACGGUCAAGACUCCUACGGUAGGCCUCAGUGGGGAAUAUUGCACAAUGGGCGCGAGCCUGAUGCAGCCAUGCCGCGUGUGUGACGAAGGCCUUCGGGUUGUAAAGCACUUUCAGCGAGGAUGCGUUACUCGCAGAAGAAGCACCGGCUAACUCCGUGCCAGCCGCCGCGGUAAUUC